rnacentral:rRNA from 1 species
UACGUAGGGGGCAAGCGUUGUCCGGAAUCAUUGGGCGUAAAGAGCGUGUAGGCGGCUUUACAGGUCCGUUGUGAAAACUCGAGGCUCAACCUCGAGAUGUCGGCGGAAACCAUCUGGCUAGAGUCCGGAAGAGGAGAGUGGAAUUCCUGGUGUAGCGGUGAAAUGCGCAGAUAUCAGGAAGAACACCCGUGGCGAAGGCGGCUCUCUGGGACGGUACUGACGCUGAGACGCGAAAGCGUGGGGAGCGAACAGG